UAAUAUUGAGCUUUCAUGGAGCAUUUCCUGUAGGAUUGGGAUUUAAUGGAACAUUUCCUGAGGGAUUGGGAUUUAAUGGAGCACUUCCUGUAGGACUGGGAUUUAGGAUGGGCUUAUUUUUAAUUGGAAAAGAGGGAAAAAUCCCAUCUGGGGGAAUAUUUAGUGUGGGAGCUGCCCCUGGUGCUGCCUGGGAUGGAACCUCUGAGCUGAAUUUUUCCAAAUCAGCAUUCCCAGAAUGAAAUAUUCCUUAUUUUGGCCUUGAAUUUUGCCUUUUUUUUGUGCCAUAUUUUGAAUUGUUGUGGGGGUUUUAAUUUUAAUUUUAA